AUGGCAGAACAGGCGCUCCAAGAAUGUCCCAACUCUCGUGGGAACUAGCAAUAGCCCGAGGGGACAGCGUGGCAGAUGUGACUGAGUCUGCACAAUUUCCCAGUAACUACCAUAUGGUUUUUUAUUACUCAUAUGCAUAAUAUAAAAAAUUGAAUCACAUGACACUUGUUCAGAAGAAGGAAGAAGAAAAAGAGAGAAGAAACUGAUUGAUGAUGAUGGGGUGGACAGUUAUGUGAUGGCUGGAUGAAUCUUGAGAUGCUAGUCUUUUCGAAAAGGCCACCAGGUUCCAGAUACCAAGAUGCCAACCAGACUUCCCUGGACAGACAAACCCAACAAUGUGUCCUGGAGCUCAGAUUCCCCAGAAACCUGCCCCACUAAGGAAAGAGAGAGGCAGGCUGGGAGUAUGGAUCGACUUGUCAACACCCAUGUUCAUUGGGAAAGCAAUUACAGAAGCCAGACCUUCCACCUUCUACACCCCAUAAAGAUCUUUGGUCCAUACUCCCAGAGGGGUAAAGAAUAGGGAAGCUAUCAAGCAAGGGGAUGGGAAUUGUGUGGAGUUAUACCCCUCUUAUCUUAUGGUUUUGUCAGUGUUUCCUUUUUCUAAAUAAAUACAAUAAAAUAAAAUAAGGAAGAAA